CCCUUAGAUGUCCGGGGCCGCACGCGCGCUACACUGAAGGAAUCAGCGUGGCUUUCUCCCUGACCCGAAAGGGUUGGGAAACCCGUUGAAUCUCCUUCGUGAUAGGGAUUGGGGCUUGAAAUUGUUCCCCAUGAACGAGGAAUUCCCAGUAAGCGCGAGUCAUAAGCUCGCGUUGAUUACGUCCCUGCCCUUUGUACACACCGCCCGUCGCUACUACCGAUUGAACGGUUUAGUGAGGGCCUCGGAUUGGUCUCGGCCUGCUCUUUACCGGGCGGCGCCGUUGGUCGAGAAGACGCUCGAACUUGAUCGUUUAGAGGAAGUAAAAGUCGUAACA
rnacentral:rRNA from 1 species